rnacentral:rRNA from 1 species
GACGAACGCUGGCGGCGUGCCUAAUACAUGCAAGUCGAACGCAGUGGGGACGGGUGCGUAACACGUGGGUAACCUCCCAUCAGAGGGGAUAACCCUUGGAAACAGGUGCUAAACCGAUACUGAUGGAUGGACUCGCGGGGCAUUAGCCAGUUGGUGGGGUAACGGCUCACCAAGGCCACGAUGCAUAGCCGAGCUGAGAGGGUGAUCGGCCACACUGGGACUGAGAAACGGCCCAGACUCCUACGGGAGGCAGCAGUGGGGAAUAUUCGGCAAUGGACGAAAGUCUGACCGAGCAACGCCGCGUGAGUGAAGAAGGUUUUCGGAUCGUAAAGCACUGUUAUUAGAGAGGCGGUAUCUGACCAGAAAGCCACGGCUAACUACGUGCCAGCAGCCGCGGUAAUUC